rnacentral:piRNA from 1 species
UGUGGUGAGCUAGCAUGUCUUUGAUAUUA